CAAGAACUUAAAUUUUGACGACACCGUAUCAAAACAAAACUAACUCCAUUUUCGGAAGAGCUCCACGAACUAUCACCUUGAAAAAUUAGAAAGAAAUCAACAUGGCCAGGCGGCCCCUGUCUCGGUUCACGAAAAUCAAUAUCGGAUGGGGUAUUCUCGUUGUGGUUGGCAUAACAAGUUUUGCUGUUGCCAGGACAUUGGUUCAAAACCAGCGCUAUGAAGUGAUGAAGAGCAAACAGAGAGUUCGAGAUGCCUGUAAACAAGAUGUUUUGGAGGCAGCGGCUAAAACAUUAUCCUAGCAUUUGCACAAUAUACACCAAGUGCAUCUAGUUUUCAUGAUUUGCUGGAGAACUAUUUAGAAUGAAGCCAGUAUCAGCUUCUCUCUUUCUGGAGGAAAUGGCUUAUUCAAGAAAGGUUUCUAACAAUCAUUUUAAUAGUGAGAAAAGUGCUAAUGGCCAAAUCUCUGAACUGACAUUCAAUUUCCAAUUGCUGUAAUUUUAUUUCUUACAGCCUCGCAGAGCAAACGUAUAUGCAUCAUAAAACACCAUUUUGAUGUCAAUCAAUGUAUGUAUGCAUAUACAUAUGUAUGUGUAUGAAAACUCUUACCCUUCAUAUGCACUAACAUGGAAUGUAAAAUGAAAACAUGGGUGUUUAAAGAAAUGAAAAUGU